UCCCUUGUAGCUCAGUUGGUAAAGAAUCUGCCUGUAACGCAGGAGACCCGGGUUUGAUCCACGGGUAGGGAA
rnacentral:tRNA from 1 species